rnacentral:rRNA from 1 species
UACAUGGGGUGCAAACGUUGCUCGGAAUUAUUGGGCGUAAAGCGCACGUAGGCGGUUCGUUAAGUCAGAUGUGAAAGCCCCCCGGCUCAACCGGGGAAGUGCGUCUGAAACUGGCGAGCUAGAGUACGAAAGAGGGUCGCGGAAUUCCCGGUGUAGAGGUGAAAUUCGUAGAUAUCGGGAGGAACACCGGUGGCGAAGGCGGCGACCUGGGUCGAUACUGACGCUGAUGCGCGAAAGCGUGGGGAGCAAACAGG